AAAAGAUUCAUACUGCAAGCCGCCUAAAUGCAGGGCUUUUGAUGAUAUUCCCCGCCAACAAGGCAUGAAGGUGGGGCUUGCCUCCAUCUGGCUCUCCUGCCACUUUCAACAACACACCCCACAUCCGAUCCUGCUUAGAGUCGAAGAUGAAUCUGGCAUAAUACAAACAGCACUGGACUGGAAGCAUGAAGUUUCUCUUAUCUGUGCCUUGGUUUCCUCAUGUGGAAAAUGAAAAUGUUGACAUAAAUAAUCACACAGGCAACAGCAAUCAUAAUGGGCUUGGAGCACCAGUCCCACAACAUCACAGGACAUCCAGACAUAAUUGCAUUAAUAAUGUUGUGCAUAAUCGCACAACUAUCCAGUUAUUCGGCAUCGUCCAAUAUGUGAAUAAAGCUCUGAGGAAAAAUUAAUGCUUGCUUAAUGCUUUGACACAUUUCCCUUUACAAAGCAAAGAUCCCUACUCCUCUCACUUUCUCACGUGGAGAAAAAAUUAAAGUAGCAUUACAACUAGUCAGCAUCCACAUGAGGCCUUAUAAUUAAUCAGAUCUACUGAGAGUUAGGUCCAAGAUCCAGCAUAAGGAGAGAUCAAGCAGAAACAAAACACACAGCCAUUGCUCUGUAUCUGCAGGAGAUUGGUUCCAGAACCCCCUUCAAUACCAAAAUCUGCAGAUGCUCAAGUGCCUUAUAUAAGAUGGUAUAGUAUUUGCA
rnacentral:lncRNA from 1 species